AGAAUCAACGCUGGCGGCGUGCCUAACACAUGCAAGUCGAACGAGAAAGUGGGAGCAAUCCCACGAGUAAAGUGGCGCACGGGUGAGUAACACGUGACUAACCUACCCUUGAGUGGGGGAUAACCUAGGGAAACCUGGGCUAAUACCGCAUAAUACCUACGGGUCAAAGGAGCAAUUCGCUUUAGGAGGGGGUCGCGGCAGAUUAGUUAGUUGGCGGGGUAAUGGCCCACCAAGACAGUGAUCUGUAUCCGGCCUGAGAGGGCGCACGGACACACUGGAACUGAAACACGGUCCAGACUCCUACGGGAGGCAGCAGUGGGGAAUUUGCGCAAUGGGGGAAACCCUGACGCAGCAACGCCGCGUGGAGGAUGAAGCCCCUUGGGGCGUAAACUCCUUUCGAGUCGGGAAGAUAAUGACGGUACCGGAAGAAGAAGCCCCGGCUAACUUCGCGCCAGCAGCCGC
rnacentral:rRNA from 1 species